AGCAUAUCAAUAAGCGGAGGAAAAGAAACCAACAGGGAUUGCCUUAGUAACGGCGAGUGAAGCGGCAAAAGCUCAAAUUUGAAAUCUGGCACCUUCGGUGUCCGAGUUGUAAUUUGAAGAAGGUAACUUUGGAGUCAGCUCUUGUCUAUGUUCCUUGGAACAGGACGUCACAGAGGGUGAGAAUCCCGUGCGAUGAGAUGUCUGAUUCUAUGUAAAGUGCUUUCGAAGAGUCGAGUUGUUUGGGAAUGCAGCUCUAAGUGGGUGGUAAAUUCCAUCUAAAGCUAAAUAUUGGCGAGAGACCGAUAGCGAACAAGUACAGUGAUGGAAAGAUGAAAAGAACUUUGAAAAGAGAGUGAAAAAGUACGUGAAAUUGUUGAAAGGGAAGGGUUUGAGAUCAGACUUGGUAUUUUGUAUGUCUUGCUUUCGGGUGGGGCCUCUACAGUUUACUGGGCCAGCAUCGGUUUGGACGGUAGGAUAAUGACAUUGGAAUGUGGCACCACUUCGGUGG
rnacentral:rRNA from 1 species